rnacentral:rRNA from 1 species
AGCAGCCGCGGUAAUACGUAGGUGGCAAGCGUUGUCCGGAUUUAUUGGGCGUAAAGCGCGUGUAGGCGGCCAGGCAAGUCGGGUGUGAAAUCCCGGGGCUCAACCUCGGAGCUGCACUCGAAACUGCUUGGCUCGAGUCCCGGAGAGGGUGGCGGAAUUCCCGGUGUAGGGGUGAUAUCCGUAGAUAUCGGGAGGAACACCAGUGGCGAAGGCGGCCACCUGGACGGUGACUGACGCUGAGACGCGAAAGCGUGGGGAGCAA